rnacentral:rRNA from 1 species
GUCGAGCGGACAGAUGGGAGCUUGCUCCCUGAUGUUAGCGGCGGACGGGUGAGUAACACGUGGGUAACCUGCCUGUAAGACUGGGAUAACUCCGGGAAACCGGGGCUAAUACCGGAUGGUUGUUUGAACCGCAUGGUUCAAACAUAAAAGGUGGCUUCGGCUACCACUUACAGAUGGACCCGCGGCGCAUUAGCUAGUUGGUGAGGUAACGGCUCACCAAGGCAACGAUGCGUAGCCGACCUGAGAGGGUGAUCGGCCACACUGGGACUGAGACACGGCCCAGACUCCUACGGGAGGCAGCAGUAGGGAAUCUUCCGCAAUGGACGAAAGUCUGACGGAGCAACGCCGCGUGAGUGAUGAAGGUUUUCGGAUCGUAAAGCUCUGUUGUUAGGGAAGAACAAGUACCGUUCGAAUAGGGCGGUACCUUGACGGUACCUAACCAGAAAGCCACGGCUAACUACGUGCCAGCAGCCGCGGUAAUACGUAGGUGGCAAGCGUUGUCCGGAAUUAUUGGGCGUAAAGGGCUCGCAGGCGGUUUCUUAAGUCUGAUGUGAAAGCCCCCGGCUCAACCGGGGAGGGUCAUUGGAAACUGGGGAACUUGAGUGCAGAAGAGGAGAGUGGAAUUCACGUGUAGCGGUGAAAUGCGUAGAGAUGUGGAGGAACACCAGUGGCGAAGGCGACUCUCUGGUCUGUAACUGACGCUGAGGAGCGAAAGCGUGGGGAGCGAACAGGAUUAGAUACCCUGGUAGUCCACGCCGUAAACGAUGAGUGCUAAGUGUUAUGGGGUUUCCGCCCCUUAGUGCUGCAGCUAACGCAUUAA